UGUAGGGGUUCUGUAGGAGGUUGUUAUGGUUCUUUGGGUUCUUCGGGGGGUUGUAACGGUUCUUUAGGUUCUUUAGAAGGUUUUAGGGGUUCUGUAGGAGGUUGUAUUGGUUCUUUAGUUUCUUUAGGUGGUUUUAGGGGUUCUGUAGGAGGUUGUAACAGUUCUUUAGGUUCUUUAGGAGGUUUUAGGGGUUCUGUAGGAGGUUGUAACGGUUCUUUAGGGUCUUCGGGGGGUUGUAACAGUUCUUUGUAGGGGUUCUGUAGGAGGUUGUAUUGGUUCUUUAGGUUCUUUAGGAGGUUUUAGGGGUUCUGUAGGAGGUUGUAAUGGUUCUUUAGGUUCUUUAGGAGGUUUUAGGGGUUCUUUAGGAGGUUUUAGGGGUUCCGUAGGAGGUUGUAACAGUUCUUUAGGA